AUUGAACGCUGGCGGCAUGCUUUACACAUGCAAGUCGAACGGUAACAGGCCUUCGGGUGCUGACGAGUGGCGCACGGGUGAGUAAUGCAUCGGAACGUACCCAGAGGUGGGGGAUAACGCAGCGAAAGCUGUGCUAAUACCGCAUGUGAUCUGAGGAUGAAAGCGGGGGACCGAGCAGCAAUGUUUGGCCUCGCGCCUUUGGAGCGGCCGAUGUCGGAUUAGCUAGUUGGUGGGGUAAAGGCCUACCAAGGCGACGAUCCGUAGCUGGUCUGAGAGGACGACCGGCGACAGUGGGACUGAGAUACGUCCCGGACUGCGACGGGAGGGAGGAGGGGGGAAUAGUGCACAACGGGCGGGAGCAUGAUGCAGAAGCGACGCGUGCGGGAUGAGGGCUUGCGGGGGGAAAAACGAAUUGGGCAGUGACUAAGAGUGAGGGACGGGAAGGGGUAAAGAAGAAACGGCUAACUAAGGG
rnacentral:rRNA from 1 species